UACGUAGGUGGCAAGCGUUGUCCGGAAUUAUUGGGCGUAAAGCGCGCGCAGGCGGCCUUUUAAGUCUGAUGUGAAAGCCCACGGCUCAACCGUGGAAGGUCAUUGGAAACUGAAAGGCUUGAGUACAGAAGAGGAAAGCGGAAUUCCACGUGUAGCGGUGAAAUGCGUAGAGAUGUGGAGGAACACCAGUGGCGAAGGCGGCUUUCUGGUCUGUAACUGACGCUGAGGCGCGAAAGCGUGGGGAGCAAACAGGA
rnacentral:rRNA from 1 species